rnacentral:rRNA from 1 species
AUUGAACGCUAGCGGGAUGCCUUACACAUGCAAGUCGAACGAGUGGCGGACGGGUGAGUAAUAUAUCGGAACGUGCCUAGUCGCGGGGGAUAACUACUCGAAAGAGUAGCUAAUACCGCAUACUAUUAGAGCGGCCGAUAUCGGAUUAGCUAGUUGGUGGGGUAAAGGCUCACCAAGGCGACGAUCCGUAGCUGGUUUGAGAGGAUGACCAGCCACACUGGGACUGAGACACGGCCCAGACUCCUACGGGAGGCAGCAGUGGGGAAUUUUGGACAAGGGGGGAAAGCCUGAUCCAGCCAUCCCGCGUGUAUGAGAAGGCCUUCGGGUUGUAAAGUACUUUUAGCUGGGAAGCGGUAUCUGCAGAAUAAGCACCGGCUAACUACGUGCCAGCCGCCGCGGUAAUUC